UGAGAUUUGGACAUGGGCGCAGCCUGAUCCAGCCAUCGCCGCGUGAGUGAUGAAGGCCUUCGGGUUGUAAAGCUCUUUCGGCCGGGAAGAUACUGACGGGACCGUUCCUGCAAACCCCGGCCCGCUUCGUGCCAUCCCCCCCGGUAAUAAAAUAUGCC
rnacentral:rRNA from 1 species